rnacentral:lncRNA from 13 species
AACGAAGAGAGAGGAGUGAAAGACAAGGCCGGGAUAAAGAAAGUGAGGGACAAUACUAGGAGAGGGAAGAGUGACCAAAUCCAGACAUAACAUUGGCCAGAUGAGUGAGGGAUGAGGGGAGAGGGGAAAAACGAGUUAGGCCCCUAUAUAGGGGAAGGGCUCAGAGUAUUGAAAGUGAAAAUAGAUUGGGAGAAUUCAGAGGUGAACAUUGUGGACUGACAGAGGAGAGGAGAAAAGGAGAGGGGAGAGCAGAGGAGAGAAAAUGAGAGGUUAGGGGCAAAGAGUGAAAUAUGCGAUGAGAAGGAGGGAAUUACAAUGAAUCAAUGUUCUCUGCACGUCUGUAAAACACAUGGGUUUACAGAUUAGCCUUAAAGCUGGAUGAUAAUAUGGCUUUGCAAUGUUGCUUUGGUGGACAAUAAGAAAAUGCUGUUUUUUGAUUAGUGGGUGCAGUGGGUGCAGUGGGUGAUUAGUGGGUGACUAACCCCGACCUAGAGAUCUGAUCUGGGUGUGCAAGCUUCAGUUCCAGCCCUGUUUUAAUACAGCUAAUCAAAAUCUUUAGAAUCACACCUGAGUGUCAUCAUUUGAUUGUGACAUCUGCGUCAAAGAUUUUGAUUGUGAAAUCAAUGUUAGUGGUUAUUGGAUUGUAACGUUUGUUCCAGUGUUAAUUGUAUUGCGACACUUGAGUAGUGUCAUGAUUGUGGGACGUUAGAGCCAAACAGCAGAGGGCGCAAUAAUCAUCCAUUUGCCUCAUUCCGCCACUGCUGGGCUGUUGUGCAUAGAAUUCGAUAAUUGAAUGGUACAUGUAUUACAAUUGACCUAAUCAGUGUAAAAUAUUGGAGAGGGUGUACUUUCCCAUAAAUUAGCCUACACAUUACGGGUAGAUUUUUUUUUCUAAAUCAAAACGUGAAGUUUGUAGCAUCCUCCAUCAAAAUGUUUUCAUUUCAAAUAAAAAGACAGUAGAAAACUGAAGAGGGUACAUUGACGAAUAUGCCUAGUUUAGUUUUUUGUAAAAUACAGGCAAGGCAGCUCGCCUUGAGGCUAAACAAAUGCUCUGAAAGACGCGCAGUCAGUGAAGGACGUUUGAAAACUGACUUGUGAUUAGUUGAAGAUUAAGUUCAAACCGGGAAAAGACACGGGUAGAGGUUUUUUUUUUAAAUCAACGACAUAAGAUUCAUU